rnacentral:rRNA from 1 species
UACGUAGGUGGCAAGCGUUGUCCGGAUUUAUUGGGUUUAAAGGGUGCGUAGGCGGCCUUGUAAGUCAGUGCUGAAAUAUCCCGGCUUAACCGGGAGGGUGGCAUUGAUACUGCAGGGCUUGAGUAAAGUUGAGGUUGGCGGAAUUGACGGUGUAGCGGUGAAAUGCUUAGAUAUCGUCAAGAACACCGAUAGUGAAGACAGCUAACUAAGCUUUAACUGACGCUGAGGCACGAAAGUGUGGGGAUCAAAACAGG